UGGGGAAUAUUGCACAAUGGACGGAAGUUUGAUGCAGCGACGCCGCGUGGAGGGUGUAGGCCUUCGGGUUGUGAACUCCUUUUUCUCGCGAAAAAGGCACAGUUUUGGCUGUGUUGAUGGUAGUGGGGGAAGAAGCGCCGGCUAACUACGUGCCAGCAGCCGCGGUAAUACGUAGGGCGCGAGCGUUGUCCGGAUUUAUUGGGCGUAAAGAGCUCGUAGGUGGUUUAAUAAGUCCUAAUUAAAAGGCUAUGGCUCAACCAUAGUAUGGUUAGGAAACUGUUGAACUUGAGUAGAUGAGGGGAAAGUGGAAUUCCAUGUGUAGCGGUGAAAUGCGUAGAUAUAUGGAGGAACGCCAAUGGCGAAGGCAACUUUCUGGAAUCAAACUGACGCUGAGGUACGAAGGCGUGGGGAGCAAACAGG
rnacentral:rRNA from 1 species